UUAUUUCACUAGGGGAGUCGGCCGACUGAGACGGAGCUUCAAGCUCCGGACCCUUGGAACCUGAUCUGGAUCAUACCAGCGGAGGGAAGUGGAGCAGAAUUUUC
rfam:Paenibacillus sp. FSL H7-0737, complete genome.